CUACGGGCUGCUGCAGUGAGGAAUAUUGCACAAUGGACGAAAGUCUGAUGCAGCGAUGCCGCGUGAACGAAGAAGCUUUGCGGAGUGUAAAGUUCUUUUCUGAGGGAAGAAUGCUCGUUUCGGCGAGAGCGACGGUACCUCAGGAAUAAGCUCCGGCUAACUACGUGCCGGCAGCCGCGGUAAUACGUAGGGAGCAAGCGUUGUCCGGAUUUACUGGGCGUAAAGGGCGUGUAGGUGGAAUGGUCAGUCAAUGGUGAAAUGUACGAGCUUAACUCGUAAAUUGCCUUCGAUACUGCCAUUCUUGAGUGCAGGAGGGGGAAGUGGAAUUCCUGGUGUAGCGGUGGAAUGCGCAGAUAUCAGGAGGAACACCGGUGGCGAAGGCGGCUUCCUGGCCUGACACUGACACUGAGGCGCGAAAGCGUGGGUAGCAAACAGGAUUAGAUACCCUGGUAGUC
rnacentral:rRNA from 1 species